UAGGGAAUCUUCCGCAAUGGACGCAAGUCUGACGGAGCAACGCCGCGUGAGUGAAGAAGGAUUUCGGUUCGUAAAACUCUGUUGUUAGAGAAGAACAGCGCAUAGAGUAACUGUUAUGCGUGUGACGGUAUCUAACCAGAAAGCCACGGCUAACUACGUGCCAGCAGCCGCGGUAAUACGUAGGUGGCAAGCGUUGUCCGGAUUUAUUGGGCGUAAAGCGAGCGCAGGCGGUAAAUUAAGUCUGAUGUGAAAGCCCCCGGCUCAACCGGGGAGGGUCAUUGGAAACUGGUUGACUUGAGUGCAGAAGAGGAGAGUGGAAUUCCAUGUGUAGCGGUGAAAUGCGUAGAUAUAUGGAGGAACACCAGUGGCGAAGGCGACUCUCUGGUCUGUAACUGACGCUGAGGCGCGAAAGCGUGGGUAGCAAACAGG
rnacentral:rRNA from 1 species